UAAAGAAGCACAACAAAAUGCGAUUACAUCAGCUCCAUUUCAAUUAUAUCAUUGCGCGAGCGACUAAAGUGGAUAGGCGGGCGGAUGUAAGUAGCCGUGUGAAUAGAAAUAAAUUGUAGAAAAAAGUGGAAUUGUGUGCUGUUGACCCUGAGAGAAAUAUUUUGCCAUAUUGCAAACGGUGAAAGAAUUUCCAGUUUGAAUUUGUGUUCAAACUAAAAGUGAAAACUAGUUUAUCUAAUCAAUUGUUGCGGCAUUAAAAAUCAUAAUUUAAAUAUGUCUGGGUAUUUAGUGCGACUUAAAUUGUGGACUUUAGUGCGAUAAUGUUUUUUUUAGUAUUUAUUAUAGUGAUUGCUACGUUAUACGAAUAAAAAGUGCUAUCAUUAAGAUACAUUGAGGCAAAAAUAUAUAGUAUACUUAUCAGAACUAAAAAUUUAUAGAUGGAAAUCGCACGACGAUCGGUUCUAAGUAAACCGAAUAGAACCGAGCUUUUUACCAAAAAAAGAAUUAUCAACGCAAUAUCACUCUACAAACAAUUUCGGAUAAUAUAAAAGUAACAAUGUGAGAAUUGUAUACAGUGAAUAUUGUUUUAAAAUUAAAAUCAUAAUCAUUAAAUUAAAAAAAAAAUAAAAUUUUUUCUACGUCAAUGUAUAGUGAGUUCUUCGAAAAUUUAAUAAAAAAAAUCAAAGAGAUAUUUAAAAUGUAUCUGUUCUGAAUGAAUUUGCACUCAAUGCAUGCAGUUUAAGGUGUGUUUAUCCAUAUCAAGCAUAGGUAUUUUUAUUGUUUAAUAACCAGUUAAUAUUUUUCCAUGAAAAAUACUGACGUUCAAGUAUUUAAAUAACUCAAAACAAUGCAAUGAUGCUGUGCACAUCCGUAUAUAUUUAAUAUAGUAGUUUAGUUUUCGCCGUCCUGUUAUUAUAUUAUUUACUUAACGUUUAUAUUUGGAACAGAAUAUUAGUUACAAACUGAACACUUGAAUAUUGAACUUGAAUUAAGAAAGCUUUGCACGGCGUGUAAAAGCUGUAAAGCAAACUGAAGUAUAAACAUUUCAAAGUGUUAAUAUGUGAAAGCCAAUCAGCUGCCGUGCACAUAUUUAUGGAAAUUUAAAUAAGAAUCUACAUUCAUAUGUAUAAUUCCACUUAAAACGAAAAUACAUCUGUGUCUCUGUAUGCAUUUUAACACAUUCACAAAGCAAACGUUUGAGAUAAAGGAAUGAAACCAAAAUAAAACAAUUAAAAUGUACUGGCUUGUACAUGCAUUGAAUUAAUUUAGUGUUGAUAUACCAAACUUAAGAUAUAUACAUACAUACAUUUCCGGUAUGACGAUUUUGCGUAAAUUACUUGUUUAAUUUUAAAUUAAUUCUGUGAUUUUUACAUCAGUUAAACAAAGCUAAAUAAUAUUAUUAUAUAGUAAAUGUAUAUAACUUCUAAUAAGAAAUACAGCGAUAAAAUUUGCAUUUUUUUGCAUGUUCUGAAAUUUCAAUAGUUAUCUCAAACAAUAAGAAGUUGGAAACAACAGAAAAUUAAAUUAACCUAAAAAUAUCACAUGAGGUUAUACUGUUAUGUGCUUUAAGUAGGGUAUUAUAUAGAAUGAAACUGCUACUAAAUCGAUAUUGCAAACGUGCAUGCAAACUAUCAAAGAUAUGUACGUGUUCGUCUGUGCUGUGCCAGUUACCAGGGGCUAAUGUUACUGCGCCGGCGCAAUUGUGUUUUAGCGGUUAUUGUACUUUUAAUGGUAGUUUCAAAUCAAAAUAGUGGAACAAUACUUGCGCAUUACACCAUUCUCAACGCAAUCAAAUACAGGUAUUCACUAUUAAAGCAAACCAGUUUAAAAGUGCGAAUAAAAUUUUUUUUGAUUCUUUACAAAGUAAAUAAUAUUUCUUACUUGAGUAAUUUGCAUUGUUACGUUACGUUUUAGUAGUGUAAUAUGUAAGGUCAUAACUUUUUCAUAUUUUUGUACAAAAAAAACUAUAUAUAGAUAAUGGCAGUAUGGACUUUUCCCACAAAUAAAUUCUUCAAACUAAUAAACUACAAAUUAGCAGCCUAAGUAAGUCUGGAAUCAUAAAUUGAUUUCUGCGCCUACAGAUAAGAGAUAAUAAAUGGGACUAUAACCCACACAAAAAUAUAAAUCAUAUGAAUGUACAAACUUAUUUUGUUGAUAUGGAUUAUAUAACAAAAAAAAAAAAAAAAACGAAAUACAUAACAACGAAAGCAUCAUCAAAGAUCAAACGUCCUAAAUUUAUAUUAAAUAGUUGUUUUUCAUUUCCUUUAAAAAAAUUAUGAAUUUAGAAUGCAAUUUAAUAAAAAUAUUGAUAUAUUUGCUCAUUCAUGGACAAUGCAUACAGAAAAAAUGUCAACAGCAAAUACAGCUGCAUAGUAAUCGCUGUGGCAAGAAAUUUGAUACGAUGCAACGGAUGCAGAGAAUACUCUAAACAGUGACAGGUGUACAGCGUUUAAAAUACCAAAAACAAUUAUGGCAGAUGAUUUAGAGUUUUAGUUGCUUUCUUUAGAUUUCUCUAAAGACUUAACACCAACUUUAUACAUAUGUAUAUAUAUGUAUUUAUCUUUCCUUUUAAUAGUUUAAUUCAAUUCUAAUUUUUUUAUUAUUAAAUGAUUUAAAAUUAAACGUAAUAAUUAAAUAACUAGAUCGAUUUGCAAAUCUGGAAACCAUUUUUCAUAUCCUUAAAGUAUUAGUUCUUAACCGUAUCAUUUUUUUUGUUUUUCACAAUUUACUAUAUUUAAUUCAUAUUAAAGAAGUAAAUUUAUUAUUCCAUCCAUUCCAUGAUAUCAAAACAUCUGUAUUAUUGGCUAGGAGAACACAUAUUGUUUUCUUUAUCAAAUAAAAGUUAUAAUUUACACAAAAUGUAUUUUGCAAGCUAAUUUAUAAGAAUAUUAAGCUGACUAAUAAAUCAAAACCGCGACAUUUACGAAUGCAAGUAUAUUUAUUUGCUUGUAUGUGAAUUUAAUGAUAAUUUUGAUUCAAUGUUUAAUUUGAUAAAUAAGAUUCAUCUCUUGUUAUUAAUAAAUACACAGUAAACAUGCAACUUGUUUGUUGCUGUGCAUUAGUCAUACAAUAUAUUUUAAUUCAUAAUAAUUUUCUUAGUUUUUUAGAUGUUGUUCGAUAUAAUAUAUGUAAAAUUACCUUAAUGUACAGAGAUGUACAUGAGUUGUAUCCAUGCGGACGUAAACAACGCACACAACGUUGGACAGCUAAGACAACAGCUGCUUUCUGCUGUAGUAAAUUGUUUUUGCUAAAAACGGAAGGCUACUAUGCUGCUGGAAGAAUAGGGAGAACUUAAUUUUGCAAUCGUGUACAGCGAAGACCAACUUUGUUGUAGCUACGACGACAGUCAAUAAAAUGCAUUUGAUGACGCCUCUGUUGGCGAGCCCACGCUGGAAACCUUGUUUUAUUAGCUGCCUAAACUCGAAACCUGCAAGUUUGCAGUAGUGUAAUGGGCCAAGAGCAACUGGUUUAGUAGUUUUUUUGUUUAAUCGUGUCUUUAUUAUAUUUGUUGGCCAGUCGAUAUUGAUAACCCGUGUUUAAAAAUAGAACACAUGCGAAAAAUUUGUAAAUAUAUAUUUUAUGCGUUCGCUACAUUCUCAUUUUCGCAGUUUCACUAUUCACUGACUUUGUGUUGUCAUAUUUCAUAAUUUCGUCAAAGAUUUGCGGCUUUAUUAGCGCUUAGUUAUUAAGAAAUAUUUUGUUGCUUUUUAAUUGAAUGCAAAAAGUGCAAAGGCGAUAUUUUAUAAUUGCUCAAAAUCACAUAUAUAAUAUAUAUAGUGUAUUUAUUUAUUAGCUGUGGGAUUCGUCUUUACUUAAUGAAUUAUCACAAAAUGUCCUUAAAUUAGCAAAUAUUAAAAGCAAUGCAUUUACGACCACCGCACCGUCGAAAAGAAAAAAACGAAAUUCUCCAAUUGAAUAGCACGAAUUAAAUAAAGACAAACGAAGGAA